GACGAACGCUGGCGGCGUGCUUAACACAUGCAAGUCGAGCGGAAAGGCCCUUCGGGGUACUCGAGCGGCGAACGGGUGAGUAACACGUGAGUAACCUGCCCCAGACUUUGGGAUAACCCUCGGAAACGGGGGCUAAUACCGGAUACGACACAGCUUCGCAUGGGGUCUGUGUGGAAAGGUUUUCGGUUUGGGAUGGGCUCGCGGCCUAUCAGCUUGUUGGUGGGGUGAGGGCCUACCAAGGCGACGACGGGUAGCCGGCCUGAGAGGGCGACCGGCCACACUGGGACUGAGACACGGCCCAGACUCCUACGGGAGGCAGCAGUGGGGAAUAUUGCACAAUGGGCGGAAGCCUGAUGCAGCGACGCCGCGUGCGGGAUGACGGCCUUCGGGUUGUAAACCUCUUUCAGCAGGGACGAAGCGUAAGUGACGGUACCUGCAGAAGAAGCGCCGGCCAACUACGUG
rnacentral:rRNA from 1 species